UACGUAGGGUGCAAGCGUUGCCCGGAUUUAUUGGGCGUAAAGGGCGCGUAGGCGGCUCGGCACGUCCGUUGUGAAAUCGCCCGGCUCAACUGGGCGGGGUCAGCGGAUACGGUCGAGCUUGAGCAAGCUAGGGGGCAAUGGAAUUCCCGGUGUAGUGGUGGAAUGCGUAGAUAUCUGAAGGAACAUCAGUGGCGAAAGCGACUUCCUGGACCAAUACUGACGCUCAUGUGCGAAAGCGUGGGGAGCAAACAGG
rnacentral:rRNA from 1 species